CGCACAGAGCUGGGCGCACAGAGCUGGGCGCACAGAGCUGGACGCACAGAGCUAGGCGCACAGAGCUGGACGCACAGAGCUGCCUGAGUCAAUCAAAGUCCUGUUCAGACCUGUGGUGGUCAUGGUGCCUGACCUGCAGCAGAUCAGUGAAACCAUGCUCUUCUCAGGGGGAUUCCGCUUGGCCAAAAUGAGCAGCAUAUCCUCUCAUCAACACACACACACGCACACGCACACGCAUACACUCACAUGCACACACACAUACACUGUUAUAGAUAAAUAAUGUAUCUGACAUUGUUAGACAGUCACUUUACUCAGUUAGUGAUCUUCAUUUGAAUGCAGAUUCUGGCCAAGAAGAUGACAGUGCUGUACAAGCUGGCCAGGGAGCAGCUGUCUAAGCAGUUCCGCUAUGACUUUGGACUGGAGGCUCUAAAAUGUGUGUUAGUGAUGGCGGGAGAACUGAAGAGAGGCUCACCAGAUCUCAAUGAAGACCUGUGAAAGUUCACUGUUAUCCAUCCGAUUCCUCUGUAUUUUAUUUACACUAAGUAGACAAAGAGAGCAUUCAUGAUUUUCUGGAAAUUGUGGGUGGUUUUAUUUCUAUGCCCUUGAAGACAUCUUAGACAAUUGUUCUCUUUCUCUCUCUCUCUGUUUUUUAAAAUUAUCUUUCCCCUUCUCCUUCCCCAACUCCUUCUCACCCUCUCUCUCUCUCACUGUUUCUCUCUCAGGAUGUAGUGUUGAUGCGUGCCCUGUGUGACAUGGACCUGCCUAAGUUUGUGUUUGAGGACGUGCCUCUGUUCCUGGGGCUGAUCUCAGACCUGUUCCCGGGGCUUGACUAACCCCGUGUGCGCUACCCCAGCUUCAUCGAUGCUGCAGAGCAGACCCUUCUCUGUCUCAACGUUAAAUCUCAGGGCAUAGGAAACUUUGUGAAAAUGACCAUUAGCAUUAUACAAUUGAAAAAUGACAAAUUCUGUUAUUAUUUCAACACAUGAAACUGGAGAUGUUAAGUCCCUAUCCUAAUGCUGUGGUGUGUCUGUGAUGUUCAGGUGGACAAGGUGGUGAAGAUGUACGAGACCAUGAUGACCAGACACACUGCUAUUGUCACGUUCGUCGUAAGGAGGAGACCAAGGCACAGCGUGAUAUGCAUACAUUCUUCUUUUAAUGAAGAAAUAACACAAAACAAACGAACAAAGUAACAAAACGAUAGUGAAGCUAUAUAAGACGAGUGCUGACAGGCAACUACACAUAGACAAGAACCUACGAAAAACUAAAGGGAAAAUGGCAACCUAAAUAUGAUCCCCAAUCAGAGACAACAAUAAACAGCUGCCUCUGAUUGGGAACCAAUUCAGGCCACCAUAGACCUACAUAUGCCUAGACUUACAAUCACACCUAGACAUACAAAACCCCUAGACAAUACAAAACAAGCAUACCCACCCUCGUCAUGCCCUGACCUGACCAAAAUAAUACAGAAAACAUAGAAUACUAAGGUCAGGGCGUGACAGCUAUGCUGGUGGGCCCCACAGGUGGAGGCAAGUCAGUGGUCAUCAGCACUCUGUGCCAGGCCCAGACCAGGUUAGGCUUGGUGACCAAGCUGUACUCCCUGUACCCUAAAGCCAUGAGUGUCAUCGAGGUCUAUGGCAUUCUGGACCCUGUCACCAGAGACUGGACUGAUGGGAUCCUGUCCAACAUCUUCAGAGACAUCAACAAGCCCACCGACGGAAAGGAGAGGAGGUACAUUCUGUUUGAUGGGGAAGGAGAUGCUCUGUGGAUGGAGAACAUAAACUCAGGAAUGAACGACAACAAACUGCUCACCCUGGCCAAUCGAGAGAGGAUCCGUCUGCAGAACCACUGUGCUAUGCGCUUCGAGGAACCACCACACCUGGACAAGCUGUUUGUGUAGUACGUGCCCAACACUAUUGACAUGAUAGUGGAGGGUAUUGUUGAUGGCAAAUAGGUGGAGAAACUGAAGACCAUCGUCUUUCAGACAGAUUACAACAUGUCCCUACCGUGGACACCACACAAGCCAGCUAGCCAAUGGAACAGAUGGUGAAGAUCAAGAGGCCUGUAGUUCUGGUGGGAGAGUCUGGCAUCUCCAAGACAGCCACCACCCAGAAUUUCCUGAAGAAUCUCAACAUGGACACUACUCCUCCAGAUGAUGCUGAUCAUCAACUUCUCAUCGCAGACCACCUCCAUGGACCUCCAGAGGAACAUUGAGGCCGGCGUGGAGAAGAGGACCAAGAAGAUAUACGACCCUCCCAUGGGCAAGAGACUGCUGGUCUUCAUGGAUGAUCUCAACAAGCCCAGGGUGGAUGAGAAUGGGACCCAGCAGCACAUUGCCCUGCUGAAGGAGGAACGAGGUGGGCACUCACUUAAUUUCCCUCUUCAGGGUCUUCAACAUCCCCUUUCCAGAGGAGGAGUACUUCCAUCUCGUCUACUCCUCCAUCCUCAAGACACACCAGGGAGAUCCUGGAGGAGUACAAUGAGAACAAGUCCAGGAUGAACCUGGUUCUGUUUGAUGACGCCGUGGAGCACCGGACCAUGUGGAGGACAAAGCCAAGGAUAUCGAGGAGCAGAACAAGUUGUGCUUCUGUUUUGUCGUCUGGCACGCCACCGCUGUGCAAAUCGUUUGUCAAGCCACCCAAGCAGGUCCCGGAGGUGUGUGAGUGCAUCCUGGUUAUGCGAGGCCAGGAGAUCAGCUGGAAGUCAGCCAAGAGCAUGAUGGAAAUGUACUGUGAUGCCAUCAACGCCAGUGUCAUGACGUUGCCUGCGUGGGUAUAGCAAACCCCAUCCCCCUCUCCCUGCCUCUCCCUUUCCACCACAACCCAUGCGGUGAUCACAGAGAGAUGUCGUAAAUUCCUGAGAAUCUCCCCACCACAAACAGUAUUAAGACAGAGGGUAAACUUUCAGGACAAAGGAAUUCUCUUCCACCUCACAGAACUUGAGGUACGAACAUAUUUCAUGUUCCUGCCAAAGUAGGAAAUAUUGGUGAAGAUCCUAGCUAUUAACAUGUCCAUUUGUCCCCAUGUGGGAAUCUCAGGAGAGACUGUGGGACCACAUUACCAUACCGCUGUUUAUAUAAUAACCUCAGAUAUGAGGUUUACAUCUGUUUGUUGUAUAAAAUGAAUGAGUGAGUAUGAUACUGUUUGUAUAAUUGUGUAAUAUGAUUUUGGACUGUUUAAUUAAGAAAAAUACAAAUACCUUUUUGAUUUGAACUAAAUCCAAGGACCGCCCUGAGCCCAGUAUGGGUCAGAGACCAUGGGACCACCCCUCUCUGCUAUCUGAAUAAAACCCAACUCCUAAGAAAUUACCAUUAAGACCAUGUUUCUCUCAAUCACGAGAGGACAAAGGUUGCAGACCAGCUUACCUCGAUAACGAGAGGGCCAAGGUUUGAGACCAGACUGCUGAAUCUUUUAACCAUCCCACGUGGUUAAAACUCUUAUACGAAUCAUAACAAGUCUUUGAUAUUGACUUCUAGUCUGCAGCUAGGAAUUCGGUAUCAUUGAACGCGAAGAAAGACAACCGCCGAAACAUCCAUUCUAUAACGAAUGUCACUCUGAACUCUCCACAAUAACUCCAACAAAAACGAACUUCUCUCCAACGAUCAAGACGACACACACACUGAACGUAACUAUAUAUAUAUUGAUUGCAAUUGUUCCCGAAUGAGUGAGCGUUCAUGUGUAAGGAUUAGCAUGUCAAUUGUUAUAGUUAUGGACUCUGUAGUGAAUUAUUAGUCGAACGCAACUUUCCCUUUGUCUAACAGCCGCCAUGCCGGUUCAGCCCACUAGGGUAUAUUGCUCCCAUCAUUUCAUGUAACUAUUUUAAGUUUGUUUGUUUGUUUAUGCAUUUCUGUGAAUUAAUUAGUUAGUAAUAAAUAAAUGAUUUAAGACAAUUGAUGUAUGGAUGACUCAUAGUGAAGACUGGGUUCGUGCAGAUAAUCAACGAUUUACGACGUUUGGAAUGAGACUGACGAGGUAGAGUAAAUAAAUCAUUAAUUAGAAGACUAUUGAUCAGAUAUGAAAAUAUUUGAAAGGUUAUAUUGGGAAAUUAUAACUUUGUAAUCUAAUAACUUUCCCUGGUGCCCUCAAAUUCAUAGUUAAUUGGUUACGUUAUUACUCAAGUGAUAGCGUAAGCCCUAAUUACAGGAAUAUAUGAUAAAAACUAUAAGUCUUCAAUUUAACGAUAGCAAAGACACGACACCAGCCAGGUCAAGACUGUCAGAGGUAGGUCACCUCUGUUCUGUGGUGUUCACACCAAACAGGACAACAAUAGGUCUAACAAAAUUCAUAUUGCAACUUUAACAUGAGCCAUAAAAUAGCAAAUACACCAUUUUACAUUAGUCUGACAUAUGUUCACUCUAUUCGCCCUGUGUUUCCCCUUGGCCAAGCUUCUUGGAGAACCUGAACACCAGCUUUGAGGAGAUGCAGACUAUCAGUAAGGCUGGUUCUGGGAUGUUCAAGUUUGUGGAGGCUGUCAUGGGCUACUGUGACGUCGCCAGGGAGAUCAAGCCCAAGAGAGUGAAGGUGAGGUGCCUAGAGAAGAACGUCUUCCAGAGCAAGCGUGAGCUGGAGAGUAUUCAGAACCAUCCAUAGGGAGCUGGGGGCGUUGGGGGACAAGUACAAUACUGCCAGGGGGGAGAUGCAGCUGCUGCACAAAGAGGCUGAGGCCAUGGAGAGGAGGCUGGUCGCUGCUGACGAACUCAUCUCAGGCCUGGGCUCAGAGAACAAGCGGAGUGGAUAUAUACACACACAGAGAAGACAGCAUGGCUUACAGACAGUUGAAAGGCUGAGGACCAUGUUGAUAUGUUCCAUUUUCUGACGACCUUUUCUGUAUCUUCCAGUCCUUCCACUUCUUCCACAACAAGGAGAUGGACUACAAGAUCCCUCCUGACGGGCCCAAGGAAAAUGAUGUUGGUGGAUGAAGUGGAGGCCCAAUGUGAUGUGGUUAUCUGGGUUGCAGGUCCCAGAGUCCUAGUUGACUGCUCUGGUUCAGGCCACCUGCAGGAGGAACGGCUGCACUGCUCCACACUCUACACACAGGUCACCCAGUACAGCACUGAGGAGGAGGUCAAUGUGAGACCUGGACAGGGCUGCUUUGUGUCAGGCCUCUAUCUGGAGGGAGCAGACUGGGACAAAGAGAGAGGUUGUCUGGUCAGGAGUAAACCCAUCCUCAAGGUCAUCCCCAUAGAGGCACAUCACCUCAAACUACAGUUAGGGGGCAGCACCACUCACCACCUAAUCUGUUUAGAAUCUGGAUAUCUGGGAUAUCUGGCUGAGCUACUGUUCUCUCUAGCUACUGUCCUCUCUAGCUACUGUCUCCUCUAGCUACUGUCCUGUCUAGCUACUGUCUCCUCUAGCUACUGUCUCCUCUAGCUACUGUCCUCUCUAGCUACUGUCCUAUCUAGCUACUGUCCUCUCUAGCUACUGUCCUAUCUAGCUACUGUCCUCUCUAGCUACUGUCCUCUCUAGCUACUGUCCUCUCUAGCUGCUGUCCUCUCUAGCUGCUGUCCUAUCUAGCUACUGUCCUCUCUAGCUACUGUCCUCUCUAGCUGCUGUCCUCUCUAGCUGCUGUCCUAUCUAGCUACUGUCCUAUCUAGCUCUGUCUCCUCUAGCUACUGUCUCCUCUAGCUACUGUCUCCUCUAGCUACUGUCCUCUCUAGCUACUGUCCUCUCUAGCUACUGUCCUCUCUAGCUGCUGUCCUAUCUAGCUACUGUCUCCUCUAGCUACUGUCCUAUCUAGCUACUGCCUCCUCUAGCUACUGUCCUCUCUAGCUACUGUCCUCUCUAGCUGCUGUCCUCUCUAGCAGAUGUAUAUUUUUCCAUUUUCUAACUGUGUCCAUGAUGUCAGUGUAUGUGUCCCUUAGAACACUCUGAGGACUCCAGUGUACACCACGUUCACGACGAAUGUUUUGGGUCUGAGGCUUGUGUUUGAGGGAGACCUCUUCACCACCAAGCACAUUACAUUUUACAUUUACAUUACAUUUUAGUCAUUUAGCAGACGCUCUUAUCCAGAGCGACUUACAGUAGAGUGCAUACAUUUUAUUACAUUUUACAUACUGAGACAAGGAUAUCCCUACCGGCCAAACCCUCCCUAACCCGGACGACGCUAUGCCAAUUGUGCGUCGCCCCACGGACCUCCCGGUUGCGGCCGGCUGCGACAGAGCCUGGGCGCGAACCCAGCCCAGCCUGGGCGCGAACCCAGAGACUCUGGUGGCGCAGCUAGCACUGCGAUGCAGUGCCCUAGACCACUGCUCCACCCGGGAGGCCAUUAUCCCCCACUGGGUGCUGUCUGUGCAUCAACGCCAACUGUUUCUGUUUUUGUUUUAUAUUUAUAUGUAGAUAAUUUAAAGACACAUUUUAAAGGCUGAUUUUAUUAUAUCACUACAACACAAAUAAAUGUUUGGGAAACUAUCACAUAUCGCAUUCGAUGACAUGCUUAUAAACAUACUAUUACAUAAAUAGAAAUAUUUCAGAAAAUGGAUUACUCCACAGGUGUUCUUAUUGUCGCUCUAACACUAGGUGGCAGCCCACCACAGUCCCUGGUCCUCUCAGGGUUGUGUAGUAGAGCCCCACAGCAGAACUCCUGUCUCCAGUCAGUCCUCUGGAGAGGUGCCAGUUGAUCUCAGAGCCUCUAACCCGAACCCCUGCUAUUUUUAAUCUCUGAAGACAGAUUUCUUUAUUAAGUCCUCUGUCUGCUUUAUUCCUUGUGACAUUUCUAACGCUCAGCAUCUGUGCUCAGGUCACCCCGACCGACUGACGGGGGAGAUAAAUCCACAAGGAGAAGAAAGUCUGCUUUGUAUUCAUUUUAA